UUUCAUGUGUUUGUGUUAGAAGAUAAAAAGUGGGGUUUAUAAAUUGUCAAGUUUUUACCAUUCCUUGAUUUUUUUCCUUGAUCAAAUGUAAUGCUUUUAACAUUCCAUAAUACUUUGUUUAUAAAUCCGUCAUAUUCACCAUUGCCUUAUUUAUGUAUCAUUGAAGACAUUCAUAAUGAAAGGGUAAUUUGUUGUCUGAAAAUAUAUUUGAUCUACUCACAACCUACCUGGCAUGUUAGAUCUGAACAAGAGAAAGAAUAGAGUUGUGUCUGUGCCAGGUACUACAAAGAUGUGAAAGAAUCUUUC